rnacentral:tRNA from 1 species
GGAGGUAUGGCUGAGAGGUUGAAGGCAUUGGUUUGCUAAAUCAACAUACAAUACAUUUGUAUCAUGGGUUCGAAUCCCAUUUCCUCCG